AGCGAACGCUGGCGGCAGGCUUAACACAUGCAAGUCGAGCGGGCAUCCUUGUGGUGUCCGCGGCAGACGGGUGAGUAACGCGUGGGAACGUGCCCUUCUGUUCGGAAUAACUCAGGGAAACUUGAGCUAAUACCGGAUACGUGCGAGAGCAGAAAGGAUUAUCUGCCGAAGGAUCGGCCCGCGUCUGAUUAGCUAGUUGGUGAGGUUAUGGCUCACCAAGGCGACGAUCAGUAGCUGGUCUGAGAGGAUGAUCAGCCACACUGGGACUGAGACACGGCCCAGACUCCUACGGGAGGCAGCAGUGGGGAAUAUUGGACAAUGGGGGCAACCCUGAUCCAGCCAUGCCGCGUGAGUGAUGAAGGCCUUAGGGUUGUAAAGCUCUUUUCUCCGGGACGAUAAUGACGGUACCGGAGGAAUAAGCCCCGGCUAACUUCGUG
rnacentral:rRNA from 1 species